rnacentral:rRNA from 1 species
GCGACUAGCUGGGCCGUAACUGACGCUGAGGCACGAAAGCGUGGGGAGCAAAUAGGAUUAGAUACCCUAGUAGUCCACGCCGUAAACGAUGAAUACUAAGUGUUGGAGAAAUUCAGUGCUGCAGUUAACGCAAUAAGUAUUCCGCCUGGGGAGUAUGCACGCAAGUGUGAAACUCAAAGGAAUUGACGGGGACCCGCACAAGCGGUGGAUUAUGUGGUUUAAUUCGAUGCAACGCGAAGAACCUUACCAAGUCUUGACAUCCCUGGCAAAGCCCUAGAGAUAGGGUGGAGGUUAUCCGGGUGACAGGUGGUGCAUGGUUGUCGUCAGCUCGUGUCGUGAGAUGUUGGGUUAAGUCCCGCAACGAGCGCAACCCUUGUCUUCAGUUACCAUCAUUCAGUUGGGGACUCUGGAGAGACUGCCGGUGACAAACCGGAGGAAGGUGGGGAUGACGUCAAAUCAGCAUGCCCCUUAUGACCUGGGCUACACACGUAAUACAAUGGCGCACACAAAGGGAAGCAAUACCGCGAGGUGGAGCAAAUCUCACAAAUUGCGUCUCAGUUCGGAUUAGAGUCUGCAACUCGACUCUAUGAAGUUGGAAUC